rnacentral:rRNA from 1 species
CGGAUGGCUCAUUAAAUCAGCUAUGGUUCCUUAGAUCAUUUCAGUAAUUGGAUAACUGUGGUAAUUCUAGAGCUAAUACAUGCCUCGAAGUCUUGACCUCACGGGAUAGACGCACUUAUUAGAUCAAAACCAACGGGUUUCGGCUCACAGUUUUGAUGACUCUGGAUAAUCUUUUCACAGAUCGCACGGCCUAGUGUCAGCGAUAGAUCUUUCAAAUGUCUGCCCUAUCAACUUUAGAUGGUAGGUAAUUGCCUACCAUGGUGAUAACGGGUAACGGGGAAUCAGGGUUCGAUUCCGGAGAGGGAGCCUGAGAAACAGCUACCACAUCCAAGGAAGGCAGCAGGCGCGCAAAUUACCCACUCCCGGCACGGGGAGGUAGUGACGAAAAAUAACGAUACGGGACUCUUUCGAGGCCCCGUAAUCGGAAUGAGUACACUUUAAAUCCUUUAACGAGGAUCAAUUGGAGGGCAAGUCUGGUG